rnacentral:rRNA from 1 species
AUUGAACGCUGGCGGCAGGCCUAACACAUGCAAGUCGAGCGGAUGACGGGAGCUUGCUCCUUGAUUCAGCGGCGGACGGGUGAGUAAUGCCUAGGAAUCUGCCUGGUAGUGGGGGACAACGUUUCGAAAGGAACGCUAAUACCGCAUACGUCCUACGGGAGAAAGCAGGGGACCUUCGGGCCUUGCGCUAUCAGAUGAGCCUAGGUCGGAUUAGCUAGUUGGUGGGGUAAUGGCUCACCAAGGCGACGAUCCGUAACUGGUCUGAGAGGAUGAUCGGUCACACUGGAACUGAGACCCGGUCCAGACUCCUAUGGGAGGCAGCAGUGGGGAAUAUUGGACAAUGGGCGAAAGCCUGAUCCAGCCAUGCCGCGUGUGUGAAGAAGGUCUUCGGAUUGUAAAGCACUUUAAGUUGGGAGGAAGGGCAGUAAGUUAAUACCUUGCUGUUUUGACGUUACCGACAGAAUAAGCACCGGCUAACUCUGUGCCAGCAGCCGCCGUAA